rnacentral:rRNA from 1 species
CCUACGGGGUGCAGCAGUGGGGAAUAUUGGACAAUGGGGGGAACCCUGAUCCAGCGACGCCGCGUGAGUGAAGAAGUAUUUCGGUAUGUAAAGCUCUAUUAUCAGGGAAGAAAGAAAUGACGGUACCUGACUAAGAAGCCCCGGCUAACUACGUGCCAGCAGCCGCGGUAAUACGUAGGGGGCAAGCGUUAUCCGGAUGUACUGGGUGUAAAGGGAGCGUAGGCGGUUACGCAAGUCUGGAGUGAAAGGCGAGGGCCCAACCCCCGGACUGCUUUGGAAACUGUAUGACUGGAGUGCAGGAGAGGUAAGUGGAAUUCCUGGUGUAGCGGUGAAAUGCGUAGAUAUUAGGAGGAACACCAGUGGCGAAGGCGGCUUGCUGGACUGUAACUGACGUUGAGGCGCGAAAGCGUGGGGAGCAAACAGGAUUAGAUACCCGAGUAGUC